rnacentral:rRNA from 1 species
AACGAACGCUGGCGGCAUGCCUAACACAUGCAAGUCGAACGAGACAUCCGGUUCUAGUGGCGCACGGGUGCGUAAGGCGCGAAAACGUGCCUUAAGGUUCGGUAUAACUCCCCGAAAUGGGGGCUAAUCCCGGAAAAUGUCUUCGGACCAAAGAUUUACCGCCUUUGGAUGGGGCCGGGUUGGGUUAGCUUGUUGGUAGGGUAAAAGCCUACCAAGGCGCCGAUCCGUAGCUGGUCUGGGAGGAUGAACAGCCACACUGGGACUGAGACACGGCCCAGACUCCUACGGGAGGCAGCAGUGGGGAAUAUUGGACAGUGGGCGAAAGCCUGAUCCAGCAAUGCCGCGUGAGUGAUGAAGGCCUUAGGGUUGUAAAGCUCUUUUGCCCGGGAGGAUAAUGACAGUACCGGGAGAAUAAGCGCCGGCUAACUCCGUG